rnacentral:rRNA from 1 species
UACAGAGGCCCCAAGCGUUACUGAGAAUCACUGGGUUUAAAGGGUGCGUAGGUGGUCUGUUAAGUUCGUUGUGAAAGCCCUGGGCUCAACCCAGGAACGGCUUCGAAUACUGGCAGACUUGAGGCCGGUAUGGGUCACUGGAACUGACGGUGGAGCGGUGAAAUGCGUAGAUAUCGUCAGGAACGCCAAUGGUGAAGACAGGUGACUGGGCCGGAUCUAACACUGAGGCACGAAAGCGUGGGGAGCGAACGGGAUUAGAUACCCCGGUAGUCCACGCCCUAAACGAUGCAGACUAGACUGCAGCAGGUUACACCCUGUUGCGGUCGGAGCGAAAUUGUUAAGUCUGCCACCUGGGAAGUACGGUCGCAAGGCUAAA